rnacentral:rRNA from 1 species
CGUGUAGGCGGCUCCUUAAGUCUGAUGUGAAAGCCCUGGGCUCAACCCGGGAAGUGCAUUGGAAACUGGGGAACUUGAAUACGGGAGAGGGUAGUGGAAUUCCUGGUGUAGGAGUGAAAUCCGUAGAUAUCAGGAGGAACACCGGUGGCGAAGGCGGCUGCCUGGACCGAUAUUGACGCUGAGACGCGAAAGCGUGGGGAGCAAACAGGAUUAGAUACCCUGGUAGUCCACGCCGUAAACGAUGAGUACUAGGUGUUGCGGGUAUUGACCCCUGCAGUGCCGCAGCUAACGCAUUAAGUACUCCGCCUGGGAAGUACGGUCGCAAGACUAAA